GAUGAACGCUGGCGGCGUGCCUAAUACAUGCAAGUCGAGCGGUAAGGCCUCUUCGGAGGUACACGAGCGGCGGACGGCUGAGUAACGCGUAGGAACGUACCCCAAAGUGAGGGAUAAGCACCAGAAAUGGUGUCUAAUACCGCAUGUGGCCCACGGGCUAAAGCUUCGGCGCUUUGGGAACGGCCUGCGUAAGAUUAGCUAGUUGGUGAGGUAAUGGCUCACCAAGGCGACGAUCUUUAGCUUGUCUGAGAGGAUGAUCAGCCAGACUGGGACUGAGACACGGCCCAGACUCCUACGGGAGGCAGCAGUAGGGAAUUAUCCACAAUGGGCGAAAGCCUGAUGGAGCAACGCCGCGUGCAGGAUGAAUGCCUUCGGGUUGUAAACUGCUUUUAUAUGCGACGAAUAUGACGGUAGCAUAUGAAUAAGGAUCGGCUAACUCCGUGCCAGCAGCCGCGGUAA
rnacentral:rRNA from 1 species